UACAGAGGUCCCAAGCGUUGUUCGGAUUCAUUGGGCGUAAAGGGUGCGUAGGUGGCGCUGUAAGUCGGGUGUGAAAUUUCGGAGCUUAACUCCGAAACUGCAUUCGAUACUGCUGUGCUUGAGGACUGGAGAGGAGACUGGAAUUUACGGUGUAGCAGUGAAAUGCGUAGAGAUCGUAAGGAAGACCAGUGGCGAAGGCGGGUCUCUGGACAGUUCCUGACACUGAGGCACGAAGGCCAGGGGAGCAAACGGG
rnacentral:rRNA from 1 species